GGUUGGCUCAGAAGCAGCCAUCCUUUAAAGAGUGCGUAACAGCUCACUAGUCGAAUGACUCUGCGCCGAUAAUUUACCGGGGCUAAGCAUACUACCGAAGCUAUGGAUCCCAAGGGAUGGUAGGGGAGCGUUCCAUGAACGGAGAAGUACGACCGAAAGGACGUGUGGAGAUCAUGGAAGAGAGAAUGCCGGUGUGAGUAGCGGAACGUGGGUGAGAAUCCCACGCACCGAAAACCCAAGGUUUCCAGAGGAAGGUUCGUCCGCUCUGGGUAAGUCGGGACCUAAGGCGAGGCCGAAAGGCGUAGUCGAUGGACAACAGGUAGAGAUUCCUGUACCCGUAUAUAUGUGAAGGAAUGACGGAGAGAGGAAGCUGCAGCCAGCGGCUGGAAGAGCUGGUGCAAGCGAGAUAUCGGGAUGGCAGGCAAAUCCACCAUCCGAAACGAGAAGGCGUGAAGCGUACGGAAAGCUACGGCGAGUACGGAAGGCAGUGGAGGAACUUCCAAGAAAAGUUUCUAACGUUAAGUAUAUAUGGCCCGUACCGAAAAUGGACACACAUGGGUGAGGAGAGAAUCCUAAGGUGAGCGAGAGAACUAUAGCUAAGGAACUCUGCAAAAUGACUCCGUAACUUAGGGAGAAGGAGUGCUCAUAGAGAUAUGAGCCGCAGUGAAACGGCCCAAGCGACUGUUUACCAAAAACACAGCUCUCUGCUAAGCCGCAAGGCGAAGUAUAGGGGGUGACGCCUGCCCGGUGCUGGAAGGUUAAGGGGAGGGGUUAACGCAAGUGAAGCCCUGAACUGAAGCCCCAGUAAACGGCGGCCGUAACUAUAACGGUCCUAAGGUAGCGAAAUUCCUUGUCAGGUAAGUUCUGACCCGCACGAAAGGCGUAACGAUUUGGGCGCUGUCUCAGCUGUAGACUCGGUGAAGUCUUAGUACCUGUGAAGAUGCAGGUUACCCGCGACUAGACGGAAAGACCCCAUGGAGCUUCACUGCAGGUUGAUAUUGGGAUUUGAUGCAGCAUGUACAGGAUAGGUAGGAGGCAAAGAGAUGGAUACGCCAGUAUUCAAGGAGCCGCUGUUGGGAUACUACCCCUGUUGUAUUGGAUUUCUAACCGGACGACGUAGAACCGUUGACGGGACAGUGUCAGUCGGGCAGUUUGACUGGGGCGGUCGCCUCCCAAAGAGUAACGGAGGCGCCCAAAGAUACCCUCAGCUUGGAUGGAAACCAAGCGCAGAGUGCAAAGGCAAAAGGGUGUUUGACUGCGAGACCCACAAGUCGAGCAGGGACGAAAGUCGGGCUUAGUGAUCCGGCGGUGCUGAAUGGAAAGGCCGUCGCUCAACGGAUAAAAGCUACCCUGGGGAUAACAGGCUGAUCUCCCCCAAGAGUUCACAUCGACGGGGAGGUUUGGCACCUCGAUGUCGGCUCAUCGCAUCCUGGAGCUGAAGUCGGUUCCAAGGGUUGGGCUGUUCGCCCAUUAAAGCGGUACGCGAGCUGGGUUCAGAACGUCGUGAGACAGUUCGGUCCCUAUCUGUCGUGGGCGCAGGAAAUUUGAGAAGAGCUGUCCUCAGUACGAGAGGACCGGGAUGGACGCAUCAAUGGUGGACCAGUUGUCACGCCAGUGGCAUAGCUGGGUAGCUAAAUGCGGAAGGGAUAAACGCUGAAGGCAUCUAAGUGUGAAACCCACUUCAAGAUGAGAUUUCCCAUUGC
rnacentral:rRNA from 1 species